rnacentral:tRNA from 1 species
GCCUAGUUAGCUUAGUUGGUAGUGCGUCUGCCUUGUAAGCGCUAGGCCGCGGGUUCGAUUUCCGCCGGGGCG